rnacentral:rRNA from 1 species
GAAAGAUGGUUCUGCUAUCACUCUUGGAUGGACCUGCGGUGCAUUAGCUAGUUGGUAAGGUAACGGCUUACCAAGGCAAUGAUGCAUAGCCGAGUUGAGAGAUUGAUCGGCCACAUUGGGACUGAGACACGGCCCAAACUCCUACGGGAGGCAGCAGUAGGGAAUCUUCCACAAUGGACGAAAGUCUGAUGGAGCAACGCCGCGUGAGUGAAGAAGGGUUUCGGCUCGUAAAGCUCUGUUGGUAGUGAAGAAAGAUAGAGGUAGUAACUGGCCUUUAUUUGACGGUAAUUACUUAGAAAGUCACGGCUAACUACGUGCCAGCAGCCGCGGUAAUACGUAGGUGGCAAGCGUUGUCCGGAUUUAUUGGGCGUAAAGCGAGUGCAGGCGGUUCAAUAAGUCUGAUGUGAAAGCCUUCGGCUCAACCGGAGAAUUGCAUCAGAAACUGUUGAACUUGAGUGCAGAAGAGGAGAGUGGAACUCCAUGUGUAGCGGUGGAAUGCGUAGAUAUAUGGAAGAACACCAGUGGCGAAGGCGGCUCUCUGGUCUGCAACUGACGCUGAGGCUCGAAAGCAUGGGUAGCGAACAGGAUUAGAUACCCUGGUAGUCCAUGCCGUAAACGAUGAGUGCUAAGUGUUGGGAGGUUUCCGCCUCUCAGUGCUGC